GGGUUGUGAGGUUAAGCGACUAAGCGUACACGGUGGAUGCCCUGGCAGUCAGAGGCGAUGAAGGACGUGCUAAUCUGCGAAAAGCGCCGGCGAGGUGAUAUGAACCUUUGACCCGGCGAUGUCCGAAUGGGGAAACCCAGUGCAAUUCGUUGCACUAUCGUUAACUGAAUACAUAGGUUAACGAGGCGAACCGGGGGAACUGAAACAUCUAAGUACCCCGAGGAAAAGAAAUCAACCGAGAUUCCCCCAGUAGCGGCGAGCGAACGGGGAGCAGCCCAGAGUCUGAAUCAGCUUGUGUGUUAGUGGAAGCGUCUGGAAAGUCGCACGGUACAGGGUGACAGUCCCGUACACGAAAGCACACAGGUUGUGAACUCGAAGAGUAGGGCGGGACACGUGGUAUCCUGUCUGAAUAUGGGGGGACCAUCCUCCAAGGCUAAAUACUCCUGACUGACCGAUAGUGAACCAGUACCGUGAGGGAAAGGCGAAAAGAACCCCGGCGAGGGGAGUGAAAAAGAACCUGAAACCGUGUACGUACAAGCAGUGGGAGCACCUUCGUGGUGUGACUGCGUACCUUUUGUAUAAUGGGUCAGCGACUUAUAUUCUGUAGCAAGGUUAACCGUAUAGGGGAGCCGAAGGGAAACCGAGUCUUAACUGGGCGUUAAGUUGCAGGGUAUAGACCCGAAACCCGGUGAUCUAGCCAUGGGCAGGUUGAAGGUUGGGUAACACUAACUGGAGGACCGAACCGACUAAUGUUGAAAAAUUAGCGGAUGACUUGUGGCUGGGGGUGAAAGGCCAAUCAAACCGGGAGAUAGCUGGUUCUCCCCGAAAGCUAUUUAGGUAGCGCCUCGUGAACUCAUCUUCGGGGGUAGAGCACUGUUUCGGCUAGGGGGCCAUCCCGGCUUACCAACCCGAUGCAAACUACGAAUACCGAAGAAUGUUAUCACGGGAGACACACGGCGGGUGCUAACGUCCGUCGUGAAGAGGGAAACAACCCAGACCGCCAGCUAAGGUCCCAAAGUCAUGGUUAAGUGGGAAACGAUGUGGGAAGGCACAGACAGCCAGGAUGUUGGCUUAGAAGCAGCCAUCAUUUAAAGAAAGCGUAAUAGCUCACUGGUCGAGUCGGCCUGCGCGGAAGAUGUAACGGGGCUAAACCAUGCACCGAAGCUGCGGCAGCGACGCUUAUGCGUUGUUGGGUAGGGGAGCGUUCUGUAAGCCGUUGAAGGUGUGCUGUGAGGCAUGCUGGAGGUAUCAGAAGUGCGAAUGCUGACAUAAGUAACGAUAAAGCGGGUGAAAAGCCCGCUCGCCGGAAGACCAAGGGUUCCUGUCCAACGUUAAUCGGGGCAGGGUGAGUCGACCCCUAAGGCGAGGCCGAAAGGCGUAGUCGAUGGGAAACAGGUUAAUAUUCCUGUACUUGGUGUUACUGCGAAGGGGGGACGGAGAAGGCUAUGUUAGCCGGGCGACGGUUGUCCCGGUUUAAGCAUGUAGGCGGAACGAUUAGGUAAAUCCGGUCGUUUUUUAACGCUGAGGUGUGAUGACGAGGCACUACGGUGCUGAAGUAACAAAUGCCCUGCUUCCAGGAAAAGCCUCUAAGCAUCAGGUAACACGAAAUCGUACCCCAAACCGACACAGGUGGUCAGGUAGAGAAUACCAAGGCGCUUGAGAGAACUCGGGUGAAGGAACUAGGCAAAAUGGUGCCGUAACUUCGGGAGAAGGCACGCUGAUAUGUAGGUGAAGCCCCUGCGGGUGGAGCUGAAAUCAGUCGAAGAUACCAGCUGGCUGCAACUGUUUAUUAAAAACACAGCACUGUGCAAACACGAAAGUGGACGUAUACGGUGUGACGCCUGCCCGGUGCCGGAAGGUUAAUUGAUGGGGUUAGCGGCAACGCGAAGCUCUUGAUCGAAGCCCCGGUAAACGGCGGCCGUAACUAUAACGGUCCUAAGGUAGCGAAAUUCCUUGUCGGGUAAGUUCCGACCUGCACGAAUGGCGUAAUGAUGGCCAGGCUGUCUCCACCCGAGACUCAGUGAAAUUGAACUCGCUGUGAAGAUGCAGUGUACCCGCGGCAAGACGGAAAGACCCCGUGAACCUUUACUAUAGCUUGACACUGAACACUGGUCCUUGAUGUGUAGGAUAGGUGGGAGGCUUUGAAGCGUGGACGCCAGUCUGCGUGGAGCCGUCCUUGAAAUACCACCCUUUAAUGGCUGGUGUUCUAACGUAGACCCGUGAUCCGGGUUGCGGACAGUGUCUGGUGGGUAGUUUGACUGGGGCGGUCUCCUCCCAAAGAGUAACGGAGGAGCACGAAGGUUAGCUAAUCCUGGUCGGACAUCAGGAGGUUAGUGCAAUGGCAUAAGCUAGCUUGACUGCGAGAGUGACGGCUCGAGCAGGUGCGAAAGCAGGUCAUAGUGAUCCGGUGGUUCUGAAUGGAAGGGCCAUCGCUCAACGGAUAAAAGGUACUCCGGGGAUAACAGGCUGAUACCGCCCAAGAGUUCAUAUCGACGGCGGUGUUUGGCACCUCGAUGUCGGCUCAUCACAUCCUGGGGCUGAAGUAGGUCCCAAGGGUAUGGCUGUUCGCCAUUUAAAGUGGUACGCGAGCUGGGUUUAGAACGUCGUGAGACAGUUCGGUCCCUAUCUGCCGUGGGCGCUGGAGAAUUGAGGGGGGCUGCUCCUAGUACGAGAGGACCGGAGUGGACGCAUCACUGGUGUUCGGGUUGUCAUGCCAAUGGCACUGCCCGGUAGCUAAAUGCGGAAAAGAUAAGUGCUGAAAGCAUCUAAGCACGAAACUUGCCCCGAGAUGAGUUCUCCCUGACCCUUUAAGGGUCCUGAAGGAACGUUGAAGACGACGACGUUGAUAGGUCGGGUGUGUAAGCGCAGCGAUGCGUUGAGCUAACCGAUACUAAUGAACCGUGAGGCUUAACCUUACAACGCCGAAG
rnacentral:rRNA from 1 species